rnacentral:misc_RNA from 1 species
GCAGGUGCAUAUCGAGCGCCCUUCCGUUUUGUCAGUGCAUAUCUACUUUCAACGAUAUCUGGAGUCACAUUCUCAGGAUUUGCAUAGACAUGAGACUUGUACUGAGAUUGAAUUGCCUUCUCAUUGCUGACAAGCAUGUUAUACACUAUCCAACCCACACCAGGAGCUUUUAAGGUGCCCCUAAGCAUUGCAUACCUGUCAAGUUCAAGAGAAGUGGACAAAUUAGAUCAGUUUAAUCUGAUUCAUUAAGCAACACAGAUAUAAAUCAUUCAUUUUCAAUGUAUAGUUCAGUAAAUCUGAUAAAAAAAUAUAAACAAAUUACCAAGAACAGAAUGACAACUUCUAUUGAUGAAAGCUAUGAGCAUGACAAAUAUGUAAAUCAAAGGGAGGAUCCAUGAAAGUCGUUCAGUUACUAUAAUCGAAAAGCUGCCCAGUCAGUAAAAAUAUUAACCACAGGACAUAAAAAUCCAGAAGUUACUAUUGAAUGAAUAACAAGCAGAUCCACCCCUUUUGUAAUUUAAUUGAUUGUAGAGUUAAAUUGACAGCAGGUGAACUCUGUAUCACAUAUGGUUCCCCUAUCUAUAUUAGUCAAUCCUCAAAGCAAACAAAGAUAGCCAUGAUAGUAUGAAUAACGAUGUACUUCUCCUGUUGCAAUCCCAGUUAAAUUGAGUUUUCACCUGUAUGUUUUACUUGUGUAUAUUGAUAAAGCGAGUUGUUCUUCUCCAACAAGAUGGUACUAAAAUUCAUAAAUACAUUGUUUCCAUGCUGGAAUCUCGACCAAACACAAUAGGAACAGGACCAGCCCAGGUUGGUGCAACAACAGCAAUGACAGUUGGCUUAACCAAUACAAAGUAAUAUUGUGGCAGCAUGCCCUGCACCAAAGACCACCAAAUCUAUUUCUGGAUAUGCCAUGACCAUUGUGACAUAGAUGAAGUAUGGGUAACAGAGAAGAUGACGCAUGAGGUUCUACAGCCAUAAUUCAACUCCAUGCUUUGCCCUGUAGCCAAUUUUUCACUAGUUCCAUCUUUUAUUUGAUUUUGUGAACAAGUCCAAAUCUAAAUAGAAUUGGGGAGCUUUGAAAAAAGAAUAAGUAUGAUUUGAUUGAUAUUAGCACCUUAUCAACACUUGAAACACCUGAAAAGGAAUAAAGUACCCUACUGAAAAAAUACACAGCACAACAAAAAAGAAAUUCUCAUAAAAACAGAAAAAUUGACCCAGCAUACCAUUGUGCUUCUGCAGUAAAUUAUUUCAGCUGCCACUGGAGUUCCUAGCUAUCUUAUACUUGAAACUUGCAGUAAAUGCUUGAAUUUCAUCAGAACUCUUAAGAAAGUUACACUUCCCAUUCCCAAUCAAGAACAUGAUUUGUGAGCCCUUUCAUCAAUCAAACUAAGACCCUCUUGGAAGAUUUUUUUUUCUUUUGUAGUUUCUUAUCUCUAAUACCAUCAUAAAGAAGUUCGUAUGCAUGAUAUGUUAUAUGACUUUUCUUCAACAAGUCUUCCAAGAUAAUCUUAGGUGCUGCAAUCGCCUUUUUAUCAGCCUCAAAGAUAGCAUCCACAGCCUCAGGGACAAUUCCAUUGUGCAGCAUAAGACGAAUAACACCAACUGCUUCAUGAACUCUAUGCUGCACACAAAAACAGUUUAUUACCCGUCCAAAUGUUGUCAGUGAUGGAAUGAACCCUUUCUCAAUCUUUUCCAGGAGAAAAUUAUAUCCAGAAUCAACAUUUCCUAUUUUACAGAACCCAUCAAUCAUGACACGAUAACUAUAACUGUCUGGGGCACAGUCUUUAUCCCCCAUCUCACGAAAAAGCUUUUCUGCCAUAUGCAUAUCUAGCUUUUCAGAAAAGGCAUUAAUCAUGAUAUUGUAGGUCACUACAGUGUAACAAACCUUAUAUUGUUGUUCCAUUUUUCUAAAGAGCUGGUAGGCUCCAUCCAAAUCCCCAUUAUUGGAAAAACCACUUAUCACUGUGCCAAAACUAACAGUAUCAGGGGUCAGUCCCUUGUUUCUUAUUUCUUCCAGUAAGUCCAGAGCCUCAUGCACCUUCCGAGCUUUACACAGGCUCUCUAUAAGUAUAUUAUAUGUGAUAAUGUUGGGAACACACCCUUUUUCCAUCAUCAUUUUGAAGGUUUCCAUUACAUCUUCAGAUUUCGCAGCCUUGCAAAGACCAUUCAAUACAGAGUUAUAUGUGAUCACAUCAGGAGUGACACCAUGGACCAACAUGCUAUUUAGGAUCUCAAUUGCAUUUUCCAACUUCAACUGUUUACAGUAACCAUCAAUCAAAGUAUUGAAUGUAAAAAUGUCUGGGAUAUACCCUUUGGCAAUGGCAUAAUUCAUUAGGUUAUUGGCAUCAGAGACAACACCCAUCUUGCAUAAACCAUUUAUAACUAUAUUGUAACUCCAUAUAUCUGGGCUGCUACCUUUUUCUGACAUGUCAUUCAUCAGCUGCAAUGCUUCCAAAAUAAGUCCUUGCUGAGAUAACCCUUUAAUCAGUGUGUUAUACAGAAGAAUGUUAGACUUUAAUCCUUUCCCCAUAGCCUCAUUGAAAAGAGCCAGGGCAUGGUCUAUGUCACCAUCCUGGCAUAACCCAUUAAUUAGUGAGCAAUACGUGAACUCAUCAAGCACAAAUCCUUUGAAAAUUGCAUCAUUCAGAAUCUUGUCAGCUUCUCGUGUCAUGCCCAUUUUGCAAUAUCCAUCAAUUAUAGUAUUGUAAGUGAAGCCAUCAGGCUCCAACCCCUUAUUCACCAUUUUAUGCAGAUAUUUCACAGCUUCUACAACCUUAGAGUUCUUGCACAAUCCACAGAUUAACGUGUUGUAUGUGACAACAUCAGGACUUAGGCCUUCCCUGGUCAUGCUAUCCAACAAACUGAUUGCCCCAUCAAGGGCACCUUUUCUGCAAAGCCCUUGGAUGAAGAUAUUAAAUGUAAACAAAUUUGGGCAUGCUCCCUUCUUCAGCACUUUGUUGAGCAGUUUUUCACUUUCUUGGACAUGACCCUUCUUACAAAGAAUAUGCAAAAGCUUAUUAAAUGUAGCAAUAUCAGGAAAAAUACCCAAACUAAGCAUCAUAUUAAACAAUUCAUAUGCCUCAACUUGAUAGUUUUCUUCAUAAAACCCACCAAUCACUGUACAAUAUACAACUGCAUUGGGCUCACACCCUUGAGAAGGCAUGUUGUUAAGAAGCCGUAAAGCUACAUGAGGCCUUUUUGUCCUACAAAAUGACUUUAUCCUUACUGUAAAUGUGUAAACAUCAGGAACAAUUCCUUCAUCUUUCAUUCUCAAAUACACUUUAUGAGCUUGAUUGAAAUACCCAUGCUCAACCAAUAAGUUCAUGGUUGCAUUAUAAGAUAAAACCGUUGGCUCACAGUUAUAGAAGUCCAUCCUCUCAAACACAUCAACAGCUUCUUGAACCUUCCCUUUCCUUCCAUAGCUUCUCAUGGCUACAAUAUACACUCCUUCCAACAAACUAUUAUCGACAUUCAUCCUAAUCUCCUUAAGCACAUUCUCCAUAGCCUCAAAUUCACCAUGAAACCCAAGCUUUUCAAUCAUGUACUUAUAUGUUAACAACGUGUGCUUGAAACCAACUUCUUUCUUAACAGAAUUGAAAAUCGCAAGUGCUUUGAGGGGGUCCUUUUGGUAUUUUAGGACAGCAGCUACAUGUUUAGGAAGCAAAGUAGGAUUCAUCCCAAUAAUUAUAAAAGCUAAUUGAUUUUUACAUCAAAAUCCAUCGCCCAAGUUGAUUUUAAACCAAUGUAACCUUGUUUUUUUCCGCCCCAAGCUUCAAUUAUCUUACAAAUAACCAAUUAAACCAAUCACUCAGGCCACUUGAAUAGCUAACAAUUUAUCAAGGUAAACCCUAUUUUGCCUUGAAAACAAUAAAAAAAAAAAAAAGGAAGCAUGACCUCCAAAAUUUUCUUAGUAGCCAAACGGGGAAACAAAACCAAUCAUUACAGUAAUCGUGAAAUGAUUAGAAAAGAUAUCGACUGUCGGAAAUAAAUUACCCGUAAUGUGAAAAAAGAGACGGCACUGCCAUUCCGCAUUAACACCCAAAGCCUUAUUACAAGCUAUCAAAAAAGAAGCAUUCACAAAACAAAAGGAUCACGAACCGAGUCAUUCCGUAUCCCAAUUUGCAUAGCUUUGAAAAACGAGAUGAUACUAAAAGGGUUAGUUUCUAAAUCAAAUUGGCGGAGCAUAGCACGCCAAGCAGACAUAAUCCAAAAGGAUUUCUAAAGGAUGCUCAUUUGAUCACCCAACGGAUCACAGAAGUCUAUAUCUGAGGAAAUAUAGGUUACUAUGGUGCGAAGGUAAGGUAUGGUUCCAUGUGAGAAGGAAGGUGGAAUUAGCGGCAGAGGGUUGAGG